AUAAGACUUCUGGCCUCUUUACAAAACUUCUUCAUCAAAAAAUAAAACCCUAAUCUUUCACCAGCCGCACUCAGCUCCUCUUCCACCCUCUCCACGUCCGCCAUCAGGCUGCUCCUCCUCCGACGCCGCCCCCACCACGUCGGCCUCCAUUCUACGUCGCACCACAGCCCCUCGACCUCCACCUCUCGACGACCUCCACCUCUCGACGACCGCCACCUCUCGACGACCUCCAUCAGCCUGCUCCACCUCUAGACGACCACCUCAGCCCCUCGACAUCGCACCCUAGCCCCUCGGCCUCCACCAUCAGCCCCUCGACAGCCGAGACACAGAAAUGGGAGAGAAACAACAAUGGUCAAACGACCAUCUAAAAUGCUUAUUAGAGACUUGCAUUGAAGAGAUACACACGGUGGGUAGAAAAGGCUUGAGUUUGCAUAAAGACUCGUGGAACAAAUUAGGAAAAGUUCUUAAGAAAAAGUUUGGCUUGGAUUUAACUCAAAAAUAAAUGACGAAUGCAUAUGAUAAUCUAAAAGCCAAAUACGUAGGAUGGGUGUAUUUGAAAAACAAAACCGGCAACAUAUACAACUCUCAAACAAAUACUUUUACCUUAACGAAUGAGGAAUGGGAAGAAUUUAAGAAGGGGCAUCUAAAGGCUGCAUCAUUGAAGACAGUUCCAUUGCCUUUUCCAGAACUUUGUGCAGAAUUGUUUGAUGGAAAUACUGCCACUGGAAAUUGCAAGUGGACCUCAACCCAAACAACAUCCGGGGUUGGAUCUUUUUGUCAUCAUGUUUAAUCGCUUAUGAUUAUGGACACCCAUUAUCAUGACACACAAGAUGAUGCAGACACUUCUAAGCCUACUUCAAAGCCCACUUCUAAGCCUACUUCCGAGCCCACUUCUGAGCCUAAUCCAAACACAAGGGCCAAAAUCUCAAAAUCAUCUAUUAACCAUGAUGAUUUAGCACGUGAUAUGUAGAUGGCUCUACAGGUUUUGAUUAAAGGCAAAGAAGGGCCAACAGUUCGUAAGUGUUAUGAGAAGUUAAAGUUGGUUGGGUUAGACCCGGUAGAUCCUAUGAAUUGUUUACAGAAUACGAUCAAUCCAAUGUUUCGGUGCAUAAUAGGCUAGUGCACGUUAAUGCUGAUGAAGACGAGGUUGAAACACAUGGUACUGCAUCGGAUCGAGAAUAUAUGACUCAGUUACGAGAUGAGAUUGCUGAGCAGUUAAUGCAAAGCACGGAUACAAUGAUUUUAAAAAAAAUGUUAUUG